GCGGCUGUGGCGGAAUCGGUAGACGCGCAACGUUGAGGUCGUUGUCCUGGAAACGGGGUGGAGGUUCAAGUCCUCUCAGCCGCACCA
rnacentral:tRNA from 1 species